UCGCCUGUUUAUCAAAAACAUCACCUCUAGCAUCACCAGUAUUUAGAGGCCUGCCUGCCCAGUGACACCAGUUUAACGGCCGCGGUAUUCUGACCGUGCAAAGGUAGCAUAAUCACUUGUUCUCCAAAUAAGGACUUGUAUGAAUGGCCACACGAGGGUUUUACUGUCUCUUACUUCCAAUCAGUGAAAUUGACCUUCCCGUGAAGAGGCGGGAAUAAAAAAAUAAGACGAGAAGACCCUAUGGAGCUUUAAUUAACUAUUCCAAAAGUUAAACAAUUCAACCACAAAGGGAUAAAACAUAACUUAACAUGGACUAGCAAUUUCGGUUGGGGUGACCUCGGAGUACAAAAAACCCUCCGAGUGAUUUUAAUCUAGACAAACCAGUCAAAAUAACCAUAACAUCACUUAUUGAUCCAAAAUUUUGAUCAACGGAACAAGUUACCCUAGGGAUAACAGCGCAAUCCUAUUCUAGAGUUCCUAUCGACAAUAGGGCUUACGACCUCGAUGUUGGAUCAGGACACCCAAAUGGUGCAACCGCUAUUAAAGGUUCGUUUGUUCAACGAUUAAAGUCCUACUCGAUCUGAGCUCCAACCGGA
rnacentral:rRNA from 1 species